CCAGUGUCACCUCAUGGCCACCAGUGCCACCCCAUGGCCACCAGUGUCACCCAAUGUCACCCCAUGGCCACCAGUGUCACCAGUGUCACCCAGUGUCACUCCACUGCCACCCCAUGGCCACCAGUGUCACCCAGUGUCACCCCAUAGCCACCAGUGUCACCCCGUAGCCACCAAUGCCACCCAGUGCCACCCCAUAGGACACCAGUGCCACUCCAUCGCCACCCAUGUCACCCUACUGUCACCCCAUGGCCACCUGUGUCACCCCAUGGCCACCAGUGCCACCCCAUGGCCACCAGUGUCACCUUAUUGCCACCUCAUGGCCAUCAGCAUCACGCUACUGCCACCCAAUGGCCAGCAGUGUCACCUCAUGGCCACCAGUGCCACCCAGUGUUACCCAGUGUCACCUCAUGGCCACCAGUGUCACCUCAUGGCCACCUGUGCCACCCCAUAGCCACCAGUGGCACCCAGUGUCAGCCCACUGUCACCCAAUGUCACCCCGUGGCCAUCAAUGCCACCCAGUGCCACCUAAUGGCCAGCAGUGCCACCCCAUGGCCACCAGUGUCACCUCAUGGCCACCAGUGUCACCCAGUGCCACCCCAUGGCUACCCCAGUGCCACCAGUGUCACCCGGCGCCACCCCAGCGCCACCCCAUGGCCACCAGUGUCACCUCGUGGCCACCAGUAUCAUCCCAGUACCACCCCAGUGUCACCCAUUGCCACCCCAUGGCCCCCAGUGCCACCCAGCGCCACCCCAGUGCCACCCCAUGGCCACAAGUGCCACUCCAUUGCCACCCGUGUCACCCUACUGCCACCCCAUGGCCACCCCAGUGUCACCCAGUGCCACCUUAUGGCCACCAGUGCCACCCCAUGGCCACCAGUGUCACCCCAGUGUCACCCAAUGUCACCCCAUGGCCACCAAUGCCAUGCAGUGUCACCCCAUAGGACACCAGUGCCGCUCCAUCGCCACCCAUGUCAUGGCCACCAGUGUCACCCCAUGGCCACCAGCAUCAUGCUACUGCCACCCCACGGCCACCAGUGCCACCCCAUGGCCACCAGUGUCACCCAAUAUCACCUCAUGGCCACCAGUGUCACUUCAAGGCCACCAGCAUUACGCUACUGCCACCCCAUGGCCACCAGUGUCACCCAAUGUCACCCAAUGUCACUGCAUGGCCACCAAUGUCACCCCAUGGCCACCAGCAUCAUGCUACUGCCACCCUGUAGCCACCAAUGCCACCCAGUGCCACCCCAUAGGACACCAGUGCCACUCCAUCACCACCCAUGUCACCCUACUGCCACCCCAUGGCAACCUGUGUCACCUCAUGGCCACCAGUGCCACCCCAUGGCCACCAGUGUCACCUUAUUGCCACCUCAUGGCCACCAAUGUCACCUCAUGGCGACCAGUAUCAUCCCAGAGCCACCCCAGUGUCACCCAGUGUCACCCCAUGGCCACCAAUGUCAUCCUCUGGCCACCCCAUGGCCAGCAGUGCCACUCCAUUGUCACCCAUGUCACCCUAUUGCCACCCCAUGCCACCAGUGUCACCCAGUGCCACCCCAUGGCCACCAAUGUCACCCCAUGGCCACUCCAAGGCCACCUCAUGGCCAGCAGUGCCACCCCAGUGUCACUCCAGUGCCACCCCAUGGCCACCAGUGUCACCCUGUGGCCACCAGUAUCACCUUAUUUCCACCCCAAUGACCACCAGUGUCACCCAAUGCCACCCAGUGCCCCCCCAUGGCCACCAAUGUCACCCAGUGCCACCCCAUGGCCACCUGUAUCACUGUAUUGCCACCUCAUGGCCAGCAGUGCCACCCCAGUGUCACUCCAGUGCCACCCCAUGGCCACUAGUGUCACUGUAUUGCCACCUCAUGGCCACUAGUGCCACCCCAGUGUCACCCAGUGCCACCCCAGGGCCGCCAGGGCCACCCACCUCAUGGCCACCAGUGUCACCCCAUGGCCACCCCAUGGCUACCAGUGCCACCCCAUGGCCACCAGCGUCACCCAGUGCCACCCCAUGGCCACCAAUGUCACCCCAUGGCCUCCCCAUGGCCACCUGUGUCACCGUAUUGCCACCUCAUGGCCACUGCCCCCAUUACCCCCUUUACCCCCGUUACCCCAAUG
ensembl:lncRNA